UAUGGUUUUUGUCUGGUUUUUGGAAAACGCUGAAAAUAAGGUCUGUGGUAAACACAGGCUUAUGAGAUCUAAUAUGUUUUGUUCUAUGAGGUCAUCUUCAUGAAUGCAGAUACACUGAGCUAUGCCCAAGCCGUACGCAGUAAAAGAGCCCACACGCAGAGUUUGGAGCAUCGCCGGCCACACUGCCCUCCACACCACCCUCUUCAAUUCCUCCUUAACCUCCCUCCCAUGUUACCAGACCAGGCCCGCCUCAGCCCAGCUCUACCAGACCCGGCCCAGCACAGCUCAGGCAGACCCGGCCCAUCACAGCACAGCUCUACCAGACCAGGUCCACCCCAAGCCAAGCUCUACACAGCACCGACUGCUAACCUAGGGUCUGGCAAAACACUGUUGAAGGUAGUGCACCACAUGAUGCAGGCCAGACCAUGUAUCAUUUACAUCAACCCUCAUAUGCAGAGUUUGGAGCUUUGUCAGCCACACUACCCUCCACACCACCCUCCUCAAUUCCCCCACAACCUCUCUCCCAGGCUAGUUUUAGAUACCCCCUACUCCCAUCCCCAGGACAGGCCUGGGACACUCCUGCCCCCCAAUGGCAGCCCCAACCCUGCAACAGGAGAGACACCAAGACCUUCUGUGCACACCCAGAAUGGAGCAUUGGCAGCAACCCUGGUCCACUGCAGCAGCUUCAUCCGGGUGUACUGAGCUCUGCCAACACUGUUCUCCAAAGUUCUCGCUCCAGCCCCUGCAUCCAGAAACUCGAGGGAGGUCUAACAAAUGUUCAGUCUGCUCUGCUCUGCUCUGCUCUCACAUAGUUUGCAAGGGACCUUGGAAAUGUCUCCACUCACUCUACAAAUCGCUGCAGAUGACCCUAUGCCUGUCAGCUCUUAUGGGAAUGAGCUUAAUACCCGCUCUGACUUUAAAUCUCGUAGGGGCUUGGGCUAAUGCACCGACAUGUGCUAAGUAUGAUUUUUUUAAAUUAUACAAUUUACAUGUGGGUGCAGGACUCAUGCCCUGACAUUCUGGUUCUCUUGGAAACAUGGUUAAAUGGUUCUGUCUCUGAUAAAGAUAUUGAAGUCAAUUAUUAUAGUGUAUUUAGAUAGCUAAAAUAUUAGAAUCCUUGAUGAAUUCUCAGCUAAGAUAUUUUUUAUUUUAUCAGUUGGGUUUUAGACCAGGUCAUAGCACUGUCUCUGCUGCAUCCCUAGUUAUAAAUGAUGUGGCUAACUGUAUGGAUAAAAGGCAACAUUGUGCUGCCCCUUUCAUUGACCUGUCAAAGGAUUUCGAUGCUGUUGAUCACUCACUACUAAUUCAGAGGUUUUACUCAAUUGGCCUAGACCAGGCUGCAUGUAACUGGUUUAAAAAUUACUUGACAGACAGGACUCAAUGUACUGUAUAUCUACUGAUGGUGUUAAAUCAGGUUUCCUGGAUAUUACGAAAGGUGUCCUGCAGCGGUCAAUUCUGGGUACUGAACUUUGUACUGUUUACAUUGACAAUAUCGACUUGUCUGUCAAAAUAUGUAACCUGCACUUGUAUGCCGAUGAUACUGUUGUGUAUGCUAUUGCCCCCAUGGUUGAAGAGGCUCUAUCUGAACUACGGUCUGCCUUCAUUAUGUUACAGAAAAACUUUAUUAACCUGAAAUUAGUAUUGAAUGCAGGAAUGGCUGAACCAACCAGAGGUAACAAGCUGGUGAGCUACUGCUAGAAUUCAGGGUUGUCACUAGUUAACACAGUCACAAAGUCAAAUUCAAUUAUUUAUAUAUACAUCCAUUAUAGGGGAUUCCGUGUUGGAGCUACCGUGCUUCCAUCUUGGCACUCCCACACCGGUGUAAAAAAACAUUUUGGAAUAUAUGAAGUAUAAUUGUUGGAGAUUACUAAUGGUACAUAUGCAGGAUGCUACCCUCCAAAGCAUGACCUUCGCUCCAGAUCAAAACUCCAAACCUACAACCUAAUUUGGACCAAAAUUAACCGGAGAGAUUACUGCUUCCAAGGUUUUAUUUGUCCAAGCUUUCCGGAGGGUGCUCCAGCCAACAAACAGCAGAGACCAGAGGACACCAUUCCAACCUGGAACUGAGCCAGAUACAAAUUCAAUGAGCACUAUGGUGUGAAGUAAAAGGCCUUUGGGCCCAACAAGUGUCAGGAGUCUUUGAAACGUCCUAAAGCCCCAUCCUGCUGUUCAAAUACCAUAUUCACUGGCAUCGGGACUCUGAUUCUCUAUUGGUUACAGACUUUUGGCCUCCCAUCCUAUUCUAACCACCUCUCGCUGGCUUUUUAUACAAGUUACCUGAUGACAUUUCUGUACAAUAUGAUCUUGUUGCCAUCUGAUGCACAUUCAGAGGUCAUAAAUCAGCACUGCAGAGCUCUCCCUGUACU